rnacentral:rRNA from 1 species
GACGAACGCUGGCGGCGUGCCUAAUACAUGCAAGUCGAGCGGACUUUCAAGAAGCUUGCUUUUUGAAAGUUAGCGGCGGACGGGUGAGUAACACGUGGGCAACCUGCCUGUAAGACGGGGAUAACUCCGGGAAACCGGGGCUAAUACCUGAUAAUAUCUUUCUUCGCAUGAAGGAAGGUUGAAAGGCGGCGCAAGCUGCCGCUUGCAGAUGGGCCCGCGGCGCAUUAGCUAGUUGGUGAGGUAACGGCUCACCAAGGCGACGAUGCGUAGCCGACCUGAGAGGGUGAUCGGCCACACUGGGACUGAGACACGGCCCAGACUCCCACGGGAGGCAGCAGUAGGGAAUCUUCCGCAAUGGACGAAAGUCUGACGGAGCAACGCCGCGUGAGCGAAGAAGGUCUUCGGAUCGUAAGCUCUGUUGUCAGGGAAGAACAAGUACCGUUCGAAUAGGGCGGUACCUUGACGGUACCUGACCAGAAAGCCAUGGCUAACUACGUGCCAGCAGCCGCCGUAA